rnacentral:rRNA from 1 species
UACGGAGGGUGCAAGCGUUAAUCGGAAUUACUGGGCGUAAAGCGUGCGUAGUCGGUUAUUUAAGUCGGGUGUGAAAUCCCCGGGCUCAACCUGGGAAUUGCAUUCGAUACUGGAUAGCUAGAGUUCGGCAGAGGGAAGCGGAAUUUCGGGUGUAGCGGUGAAAUGCGUAGAUAUCCGAAGGAACAUCAGUGGCGAAAGCGGCUUCCUGGACCAGAACUGACGAUCAGGCACGAAAGCGUGGGGAGCAAACAGG